AAUAAAUUGCCUGAUUAAAGGAUUACUUUGAUAGAGUAAAAUAAAUAAUUGAAAAAUUAUAUUUAUUA
rnacentral:tRNA from 1 species